GGAAAACCAACCAUGGUGCUCAUUUUGGGGACAGCUGUUUCCAGCAUUCUCUAGUUGGCAGCGCAGGUUGCAGGGUGCAUGCACUCAGUGCUCAGCCAGGGGCUGCUCCAGUGGCCGCUCCUACCUCUGAAAGCCAAUUGCUCACCAUGGUGAACUCAAACUCCACAGACCCAGUCCAGGAGAAGCCUGACGGUGAAGCCCACUCAGCAGAUGGGUUUUGUUCUGUCAACUAACCUUUCACGAGACCAUUAUGAGGCAGACUGGCAGGUCAGCAAGUGUGUGAGAUCCUUCCGUCUCCAUCUCUUAAUGCUGAGCUUACAGGUGCGUGGCCCAUGCCUGACUUUGCAUGUGGGUGCUGGGGAUCCAAUUUUAGGCUUCCUCACAAAGUCCUGGCCAGGACAGGUCCUUUCUGGUAUGCCUGGGGCUCUUGCUAACAAAAGCCACAUGUUGUGGCUAGUGGAUAUGACUCACACUUGCUUGCUGUCUUCAAAGCCAGGUCUUCUUCCUCCUAAGCCUUUGGUGGGGACACAGCAGCCUGGACUCACAAUAGACCUAGGAUCCAGCCCUGUGGCCACGCCGACCACGUAACACUGGGCCAGUUGUCUACUUCCUCAGAGUUUCAGCUUUCCCACCUGUAAAAUGGAAACACAGUUCCCUCGUCAUGGCAUUACUUGGAAGUGUGCAAGAGAAGGAGGACUAAGGGGAGUGUUCUCAGUGGACGAACUAGCAGAGAACACGCUACAGAACACGCUGGCUGUGACACCAAGACUCUCCAGGGGGCAGCCACCUUUCUGGGGAAGGCCCCCAUUCUUAACUGGCCUCUCUAGGAGAAAGGUAAACUAUGUUCCAGGGCAACUGCGCCAACAAUCAAUGGGGUGAAAGCUUUCACAGAACUGCUGUAGGCGAACAAGAUGAACAGACAACUCACAGUGCCCUGGACAAGAUGGGAAGGACCCUGGACAUGGCGUUCCCAAGCUAACCCAGAAGGCACGUACCUUUAUUUCUCAGGACCACAGCAGAUAUCUCUGUGGGGUGAAAGACCAAAGCUUGCUUAAUCACUCAUCCUGCAAGCUUUUGCUAAGCACCUUCUCUAGGGAAUAAGGAAGACAGACCCAGUUCUAGGCUCUGAGUCGCCAUCUUACAAAGUCUCCACUGGGUGGCUGUUCUGCAGGUAAAUUCUUUGUGCCAUCCCCAGCAAGAACUCAGGUGUAGGGCACAGCUCUUUCUUAUUGUUCUUGCAACUCCCUUGUUCCCUCCAUUGACCUCUAGGGAUACUCCCCUGGAAAGGGCAGGGAUGCUAGCUUUUCUCCACUCAAGGAUCCAAGCCAGUUGGUAUUUCAGAGUUGUUGUACUCUGUUCUCUGGCCUGAAAGAUGCUGGGGUGUGCCCAGAGCAUGAGAAGACAUCAGCAUUUAUUGGGAACCUUUGCUUUCCAGGAAUAUUUAUAAACAUAUGGAUGUCUUUCUAACUCCAAUGCAAGGUGCUUUGGCCCAUUUUUCAGGUGUCUUGAAGCUCACUGAUUUGGGUAGUGGCUCAGCUGAAGAACACAGUGUCAGCUUCCACUAACUAACCCAGUCAUUGCAGCUGGGUGUGCCAUCAUCCCAGCAGGCUAGGCUUCUUUUCAGGGACUCCAGAGCCUUCUGCUUUUCUGAGGAUGGGUGGCCAGACUGGCUGAGAAGGUGCUCCAGCUCAACCUUCAUGUUCUGCCUCUCAUUUGCUCAUCCAUAUGUCAAUCACCGAGAAAUCUGCCCUGGACUGAACGCAGGGCUACCUGGAUCCAGAAUGGCAGGUAGCAGCCACCAUGACCAGAAACACCCUGAAGGAGUGAAAUAAAGCUGUUCUCCUGGAGAUGACUGCUGGUCCCAGAGCAGACAGGAACACCCCUCCCUUUAUUAGCACGUGUCUCUCCCUUGUUAUUCCCACCCUGUGUCUGUGAUUCCUCACCCUGCUGGAGUCCGGAAGCUGAUCUGCAGGUAGGAUUCUCUUUGGUCCAUCCUUUGGCCACCAAAUAAGGCCAUUGUCAUUCCUAA